AGAUUAAGUUAUUAAGGGCGCACGGUGGAUGCCUUGGCACUAGAAGCCGAUGAAGGACGUUACUAACGACGAUAUGCUUUGGGGAGCUGUAAGUAAGCUUUGAUCCAGAGAUUUCCGAAUGGGGAAACCCAGCAUGAGUUAUGUCAUGUUAUCGAUAUGUGAAUACAUAGCAUAUCAGAAGGCACACCCGGAGAACUGAAACAUCUUAGUACCCGGAGGAAGAGAAAGAAAAUUCGAUCCCCUUAGUAGCGGCGAGCGAAACGGGAAGAGCCCAAACCAACAAGCUUGCUUGUUGGGGUUGUAGGACACUCUAUACGGAGUUACAAAGGACGACAUUAGACGAAUCAUCUGGAAAGAUGAAUCAAAGAAGGUAAUAAUCCUGUAGUCGAAAAUGUUGUCUCUCUUGAGUGGAUCCUGAGUACGACGGAGCACGUGAAAUUCCGUCGGAAUCUGGGAGGACCAUCUCCUAAGGCUAAAUACUCUCUAGUGACCGAUAGUGAACCAGUACCGUGAGGGAAAGGUGAAAAGCACCCCGGAAGGGGAGUGAAAUAGAACCUGAAACCGUGUGCUUACAAGUAGUCAGAGCCCGUUAAUGGGUGAUGGCGUGCCUUUUGUAGAAUGAACCGGCGAGUUACGAUUUGAUGCAAGGUUAAGCAGUAAAUGUGGAGCCGUAGCGAAAGCGAGUCUGAAUAGGGCGUUUAGUAUUUGGUCGUAGACCCGAAACCAGGUGAUCUACCCUUGGUCAGGUUGAAGUUCAGGUAACACUGAAUGGAGGACCGAACCGACUUACGUUGAAAAGUGAGCGGAUGAACUGAGGGUAGCGGAGAAAUUCCAAUCGAACCUGGAGAUAGCUGGUUCUCUCCGAAAUAGCUUUAGGGCUAGCCUCAAGUGAUGAUUAUUGGAGGUAGAGCACUGUUUGGACGAGGGGCCCCUCUCGGGUUACCGAAUUCAGACAAACUCCGAAUGCCAAUUAAUUUAACUUGGGAGUCAGAACAUGGGUGAUAAGGUCCGUGUUCGAAAGGGAAACAGCCCAGACCACCAGCUAAGGUCCCAAAAUAUAUGUUAAGUGGAAAAGGAUGUGGCGUUGCCCAGACAACUAGGAUGUUGGCUUAGAAGCAGCCAUCAUUUAAAGAGUGCGUAAUAGCUCACUAGUCGAGUGACACUGCGCCGAAAAUGUACCGGGGCUAAACAUAUUACCGAAGCUGUGGAUUGUCCUUUGGACAAUGGUAGGAGAGCGUUCUAAGGGCGUUGAAGCAUGAUCGUAAGAACAUGUGGAGCGCUUAGAAGUGAGAAUGCCGGUGUGAGUAGCGAAAGACGGGUGAGAAUCCCGUCCACCGAUUGACUAAGGUUUCCAGAGGAAGGCUCGUCCGCUCUGGGUUAGUCGGGUCCUAAGCUGAGGCCGACAGGCGUAGGCGAUGGAUAACAGGUUGAUAUUCCUGUACCACCUAUAAUCGUUUUAAUCGAUGGGGGGGACGCAGUAGGAUAGGCGAAGCGUGCGAUUGGAUUGCACGUCUAAGCAGUAAGGCUGAGUAUUAGGCAAAUCCGGUACUCGUUAAGGCUGAGCUGUGAUGGGGAGAAGACAUUGUGUCUUCGAGUCGUUGAUUUCACACUGCCGAGAAAAGCCUCUAGAUAGAAAAUAGGUGCCCGUACCGCAAACCGACACAGGUAGUCAAGAUGAGAAUUCUAAGGUGAGCGAGCGAACUCUCGUUAAGGAACUCGGCAAAAUGACCCCGUAACUUCGGGAGAAGGGGUGCUCUUUAGGGUUAACGCCCAGAAGAGCCGCAGUGAAUAGGCCCAAGCGACUGUUUAUCAAAAACACAGGUCUCUGCUAAACCGUAAGGUGAUGUAUAGGGGCUGACGCCUGCCCGGUGCUGGAAGGUUAAGAGGAGUGGUUAGCUUCUGCGAAGCUACGAAUCGAAGCCCCAGUAAACGGCGGCCGUAACUAUAACGGUCCUAAGGUAGCGAAAUUCCUUGUCGGGUAAGUUCCGACCCGCACGAAAGGCGUAACGAUUUGGGCACUGUCUCAACGAGAGACUCGGUGAAAUCAUAGUACCUGUGAAGAUGCAGGUUACCCGCGACAGGACGGAAAGACCCCGUGGAGCUUUACUGUAGCCUGAUAUUGAAAUUCGGCACAGCUUGUACAGGAUAGGUAGGAGCCUUUGAAACGUGAGCGCUAGCUUACGUGGAGGCGCUGGUGGGAUACUACCCUAGCUGUGUUGGCUUUCUAACCCGCACCACUUAUCGUGGUGGGAGACAGUGUCAGGCGGGCAGUUUGACUGGGGCGGUCGCCUCCUAAAAGGUAACGGAGGCGCUCAAAGGUUCCCUCAGAAUGGUUGGAAAUCAUUCAUAGAGUGUAAAGGCAUAAGGGAGCUUGACUGCGAGACCUACAAGUCGAGCAGGGUCGAAAGACGGACUUAGUGAUCCGGUGGUUCCGCAUGGAAGGGCCAUCGCUCAACGGAUAAAAGCUACCCCGGGGAUAACAGGCUUAUCUCCCCCGAGAGUUCACAUCGACGGGGAGGUUUGGCACCUCGAUGUCGGCUCAUCGCAUCCUGGGGCUGUAGUCGGUCCCAAGGGUUGGGCUGUUCGCCCAUUAAAGCGGUACGCGAGCUGGGUUCAGAACGUCGUGAGACAGUUCGGUCCCUAUCCGUCGUGGGCGUAGGAAAUUUGAGAGGAGCUGUCCUUAGUACGAGAGGACCGGGAUGGACAUACCUCUGGUGUACCAGUUGUCGUGCCAACGGCAUAGCUGGGUAGCUAUGUGUGGACGGGAUAAGUGCUGAAAGCAUCUAAGCAUGAAGCCCCCCUCAAGAUGAGAUUUCCCAACUUCGGUUAUAAGAUCCCUCAAAGAUGAUGAGGUUAAUAGGUUCGAGGUGGAAGCAUGGUGACAUG
rnacentral:rRNA from 1 species